ACAACAUUCGUACCGUCGCGUCUACCGAGGAACCACACCCGCUCGAUGGAAGAUCUUUCCUUUCGUCAU
rnacentral:pre_miRNA from 1 species